GACCGGGUAAAGUCGUAACAAGGUAUCUGUAGGUGAACCUGCAGAUGGAUCA
rnacentral:rRNA from 1 species